rnacentral:rRNA from 1 species
GCUAGUAAUCGCGGAUCAGCAUGCCGCGGUGAAUACGUUCCCGGGCCUUGUACACACCGCCCGUCACACCAUGAGAGUCGAUAACACCCGAAGCCUGUAGUCUAACCAUAUGGGGGACGCAGUCGAAGGUGGGAUUGAUAAUUAGGGUGAAGUCGUAACAAGGUAGC